UACGUAGGGUGCAAGCGUUGUCCGGAAUUAUUGGGCGUAAAGAGCUCGUAGGCGGUUUGUCGCGUCGAAUGUGAAAACCCGGGGCUCAACCCCGGGCCUGCAUUCGAUACGGGCAGACUAGAGUUCGGUAGGGGAGUCUGGAAUUCCUGGUGUAGCGGUGAAAUGCGCAGAUAUCAGGAGGAACACCGGUGGCGAAGGCGGUUCUCUGGGCAUGACCUGACGCUGAGGAGCGAAAGUGUGGGGAGCGAACAGG
rnacentral:rRNA from 1 species